UAACGGCUGUGGUGAUCAUGCUAUCAAAACACAUAUAUGGAUACAAAGGGGGUCGAAAAGUAGACCAAAGGUGACAUGGCGUGGGCAGUCCAAAUGAUAGGGAUGGAUGGCGAAGGCUGUUUCCCAUACAGCAACUACAACAGCAGCCAUCCAGACCAGGGCACGUACCUUCCCUGAGAGGGAGAUUAGGGUUUAGGAAGUGGAGCAGGCCUUUGAGAUGACAUGGCUAAAAUGAACCCCGUGCCUAGUGAAUGCGUGGUAUAAAUAGCUGACAGGAAGAUCUCCAGGUUGCAUGCAUCAUUAGUGACUGCACGUCACUAUAAACACUGUCAACAAACAUUGCCCGGCCAUUGUAAACAUGACACAGAUUGGGAUUUUUCUUGAUAUGAUGACUAGUAGUGGUGUACUAGUCAACUAUGUCAUGCUUACUGGGCUUUCGAUGUACACAAAGAUUUACAGUAAAGGCAACAAUAUGAAGCAUAUUUGAUAGGAUUAGUCUUAUUGAUAUUUUUGAAACAGUAUUUAUGUCUACUGAAGUGUUGAUCUUGGUAUAGUAUCUUUUAGCACAUGUAUCAGGGGCGGAUCCUGGCUUUAACCCAGUCCACUGGUAAACCCUCACACCAUGAGCCUACUGCUUCUGUUCCACAUGUCUUAUGUUGUGCUGGGUUGUUUAGUCUGGGGAUCUACUGACUGAGAGGAGACCAGAUCGCCACCUCUCUCGUCAAUACUCCUGCAUGUACCAUGUCUCCUCAGAGAACACACGCUUUAAU
ensembl:lncRNA